GGAAACGGACUUUCGGAUCUGGGAGCCCCUGCCAUCCACAGAGGUUCUACCCUCUUGCUGAUGAGGAUCUCCAGUGGCUUCUGGAUUGCAGGCUGACCAAUGAGGGGCCACUCAUCUCUACCCACCUGUCUGUGGGCCUUUCCCAGUUCGAGGCCUAUAGUGAAGGGAACUCUUGCUGGCCUCCCGCUUGGAUGAGGUGGGAAAGAGCAAGGCCUUGGCAGUCUCCCACCAGCACGACAGGAAUGACAUGGGACAGCUGGUGAGGCCAAGACUCCAUAUGGCUGGGAUGGCAGAUGCCAGGUAACUCCAGGAGUUAGCUGGAGGUGAGCACAUUGGAACAGGACCCUGUGGGAUGAUCUUCAAGUUGGAUUUGUCUUGAAGGUCUACCGAGAGGAUGGAGGCCAGGGGUGGAGGGCUCUGGGUCAGAGGAGCCAGGGAAGCUGAUGGGGACAUGGUGGGAACAGCCUCUUCUGCAGGCUCCCUGCAUGGCUGCUGGGCUCCAGCAGGCACUGCCUGGCACACCUCACCAAGGGGAUCUGGACAUGAAUGAGGAUGAAAGUUGCCCUUGUCAGGGAAUCUCUGCAGGUGGCUGCAGGAGACAAGAGACACAAGCUCUAGCCAGGAGCUGACAGGGCCAGGCAGGGGUAGGCACCUGGGGCCAUGGCCCCUCACAGCCCCCAUUCUGACUUCACACUGCAUCUGCUGUCCCUCCGCUUGGGGCUGGAGCUGAACCCUGCUGCAAUGGCUCCCCCUCCCAGGCCAGCCCCAGCCUUCCUGCAGCCCUGGGGUCCCACUCUGUGCCCUGGAAGGAAGGAGAACCCAGGAGAGAUUCUUUACCUUUGCAGAUAUACAAUCAGGCCCCAAACCUGUACCAGCUGUCGCAGGCCAUCUCUGCAGGCUGGAAAUCAGGACACUGGGUCAUGGUGGUGAAGGCAGGGGCAUGAGGGUUUUACAGGAGGCUAGUCCCUUUAGGGGACACUUUUUUUGGGAGCCUGGAGCCCAAGCACCAGUGUCCAAGGCCAAAUGAAUCCUGACAGUGAUGGAGAAGCUCACAGACAGGUUUCUCAUUUGCAAAGUGCUUCCAUAACUACCCCUUGCUGCCCACACAACCACCAUGGGGUGUGUGUGUGGUGGGGGGAAGGGAGCAGGGAGACCUCACAGAGGAAUCCCAGCCAUGUGAAACAGCUUAUUCUCAGUCCAACCUGGAGGGUCCACCUCCCAAUCCAGGCACUCCUGGUCCAAGACAGCCCACAUGCCCCUGCUGGGUCACACCCUUUCCCAGGCUCCUCACAGGUUGAUUCCACAAAAGUAUCGGUUCCUGCUUUCCUUUCCUGAGGAUUCUGUUCCCUGAUGUUGGCAUCCUUAGGGACGAUGGAGCUGGUUCCUCAGGGCUGGGAGAGAUGGAAGCAGACUCUCAAGACACACAGGGCUGAUCGUGGAAGCUUACCUUUCAAGGCUCUAUUUCUCAUCCAACUCCUCCUCCUCACUAGCAGCUCCAUUUGUUGCUGAGAAACAGAAAAACAAAAACAAAGAGGGGCUGGUUCCCACAUCUCACUCUGCCUUCUCUAAAGCAUCAGACACUCAAUACAUUCCACGACCAGACAUAAUAGGACUUUCUCCAUGGAACUCAUGGAGCUCUGUGGGGUUUUUUUUCUUUCAUUCAUUUAAAAAGUGGACACAAAUAUUAUGUGUUCCUUCAUCAAAGAAGGCAAGGAAGGAUUUUCUAUGAGAUCUACUCUGGAUUUCUCGCAUCACUGUUCCUCUCCUCAAGAAACACACCUUUUCAGGUCUCUGCUCCCCGAGGUGGGGCACCAUCUGCUCAGAGGCUCCCAGGGGCCUCAGCACUGCCUUCAGAUCAGCCCUUGUUCAAGACACUUGUUUGUGGCUGGUGAACCAGUGCUCAGGGUCUUGACCUGUGGCUGAAAUUGAACUCUUAGUAUCCCCUCCUUGGCCGCUUGUCACUGCAUUUGGGACUAGCCCUGGAGGCCUCUCCCCUCCUGGGACACCUGGUCUGAGAUCUUUGGCUAGAAAUCCCAGCACCCACUCUAUACCCUGUCAGGCCUGGCUUGUCCCUAAGGCCUGUCUUGUUUCCUGAGACUAGAUGUCCUCUUCUUUCCCAUCUCAGGAGUCUCUCUAGUUGCUUCAGAAAAGUGAAAGUAAUACUAGAAAAGAGAGAAUCAUGUACUCUUGGGUCUGGGCCAUGAGUUCCUUACCUUUCUGAUGCUUCCAUGUGUCCUAGGUGGUAGUGAGGACGGAUCACUCCUGAGGUAGGGGAGUAGUAGGAAGAAGAGCCCCAGUCCACACACCAAGGCGAGGAUGGUUUCAUUCACCCAGGAAGUGGGACUGGGGUGCCAGCAAGGAACACAAAUGUUUUUCAGAAAAGAGAGAAGAUUCUUCAUCUCUUUUCUCUGAAAGGCUUUCACAUGAAAUAACACUGUUAACUCUCAUGUAACUGAACACUGUGAAUGAUCUUGCAGUUAGAGCCCCAGGCUCAUAUCACAGAACUGCAGCUACAUCACAAAGGGCUCUUGAGGGUGGGGGAGGGGACAGAAGAGGAGGAGGCUGGGCCAGCGCCCCUCCUCCACCACCCAGCCCCUCAGCUCUCUCAUUCCAGCCUCUUGGGCCUUCUAGACCUUAAUUUUCAGAUCAUUACACCUGAAAGCCAGGUAUUUCCACAGGUCUCUUGGGGAUCUUGGCUUGAGCCCACAUAUUUCCUAGCCUUUGAAAGUCUGAUAUUCUCCCAGGCACUUGGCUGUUUCCCAGGGACAAGUAUAUAAACUGUCAGCAUCUCCUCUGUCCACAAUUUCAUCCUUUUUUCACUUUGCCUAUUUACAUAUAAGUUGUACUUCCUCAGCAGAUUUCAAUGAUACAACACAGUGUUAUCAGCUCAUGUUGUACAUUAGAUCCCAAAACCUUCAUUUCAUAAUGAAGUCUGUGUCAGGGAGCAACCAUUAGGGAGUGUCCUUAUUGCCCUUCUCAGCCACUGGUCAGCAUUGCGGUGGGCCCUUCCCCCAAGCAAGUGACAGUGAGUGACCAUGAGCCCCUCCCCCUCUCCCCUUCCCUCUGUAUAAGCAGAGCCUGAAUUUGGACUGAGGCAAGAUGGGUUUUUGAGACACUAGUCUGCCAUCUUGUCGGUCUUCCAGCUUUCCACUUAAAGUUGCUAUUCCUUGUCCCAACAACUCCUCUCUGAAUUUAUUGGCCUGUUGAGUGGCACACAGAGCAGACUUGGGUUGGGU
ensembl:lncRNA